UUGUCCUAUGUCGAAGUCGGGUGAAAAUUAUGUCAAACAAUGUUAUCUUACUUAUCUAAGUUUUAAGUACCUAUUUGCCUAUUAUAUCUGUUGUGAGUAAGUUGUGACCAGAAAAAAAAAAUGAUAUAUGAUACACAAAAAAAUAAACAAGUAUAGGUACUUACUACUUGUUGUAUGACCCAAUCGUACUAUUAUUUUCCAUCACUUUGGUUUUUACAUUUUAAUUUUUGUACCUACCUAAAUAUUAUUCGAAAUUUGUAAGACGUCCUUGUAAUGUAUUAUACUACCGUGGGUAGCCUGCAGCUCAUUGAACAAUAUUAUGGUAUUUUGCAAGUUCCAUUGUCUAGGCUGGUCACACUUGAUUGCAACUCUGAAAGAUGUUUGUAGCAAUUUUAAUACCAUGCUGCCCAUGUUAAUAUUUAUCGUCUAGUCCAAUAUUAUCUAAAUGAACUCUAGCUUUUGGAUUUCAUAKUCUGCAUUAUAACAAAAUAUUC